UUUUUCCACUGUUGUUGUUAAGUCAUUUUUUUUUCAGUCAUGUCGGACACUUCUUGACCCAGUUUGGAAUUUUCUUGCCAAAGAUAGUGGAGCAGUUUUUCGUUUCCUUCACCACUUCAUUUUACAGAUGAGAAAACUGAGAGUUCUACGCAACCGCAGCCACAGCCACAGCCUCAACCUGUGGGCCAAGUCCUCGGUGCUCUUCUACCUUCAUCCUCCCUGCCAUCCUCAUCUGACUCUAUUGGCAACUAUGGCACCUGGACCUCUUGUAGUCUACUUCUAUAGCUGACCCGGGCCAGCACCUCCCUGGUAGAUUUUGUGUAAAAGAACGGCUUUUGUUCUGAAACACAAAAUAGCCCAGAAGAGAGGAUGACAUUUCCAAAGAAGUGCCUCUGAAAGUUCCUGAGACCAACAACAGGAAGAUGUUCCAGAAAGAGAAAGAUGAAAGGAGCGGACCUUCUCCAACUUCUCCAAAACCCUGUUCCCUGUCUUCCUCAUCAUAGCUUCCUUCUUCAUCCACAAGAACUUCAGCUUGACCUGAAACAGUAUCUUGCCCAUACAUAAGUGCCUCCUUAAGCCUGAUUGCCCUGCUGUCUGCUGGUUCCAAAUAGAAGAAACUUGCUUUGAGGGGGUGGUCUAUAGUAGUCAAAGGAGGUGGGAGAAGUGUAAGAACUGCUUGUUUGUUUGUUUUUUAAUUUAAAACCCUUACCUUCCAUCUUAGAAUCAAUACUAUGUAUUGGUUCCAAGGUAGAAGAGUGGCAAGAGCUGGACAAUGGGGGGGUGUGCCCAGGGUCACAUGGCUAGAAAGUGUCUGAGUUCAAGUUUGAACCUAGGACACCUCAUCGCUAGGCCUGGCUCUCAAUCCACUGAGCCACCCAGCAACCCUCAAGAACUGUUUUUUAUAAUUAAACAGUUUGUGUGUGUGUGGUUUUUAAACUAAGAACAUGUAAAAUAACCUUUUUUUGGGGGGAAGGGGCUUCCUUGGACAGAUUGUUGAAAUAAAUAAAUGAUAAAAAAAGAUGAAAUAAAAUAAGUUGAGUGGGGGGGGGAUUGUGUGUGUGUGUGUGUGUGUGUUUGUGUGUGUGUGUGUGUGUGUGUGUGUGUGUGUGUGUGUGAGGCUGUGCACUCUGUGGGCUCCUGUUAUUUUAGGAAUAGGUGUGUGCUCCCUCCCUAAGGGAAACGGCCUAUCAUAUACAGCUUAGGGCUAAUUGGUCUGGGGAUGUUCUCCCUCA